rnacentral:rRNA from 1 species
AAAACAUUUCUUUUCGAUAAAAAUUUAAAGUAAGUUCUGCCCAAUGAUUAUUAUUUAAUGGCUGCAGUAUUUUGACUGUACAAAGGUAGCAUAGUAGAUUGCUUUUUAAAUGAAAGCUGGAAUGAAAGAAUAAAUGAAAUAUGAACUUUAUUAAAUUAAUUAAUUGAAAUUUAUUUUUUAGUUAAAAAGCUUAAAUAAAUUUAUUAGACGAGAAGACCCUAUAGAAUUUUAUAUUUUAUUAGAUGAAAUUUAAUAAAAUAUUUUUUUGGGAGGAAGGAAAAAUAAUAAACUUUUUUGUAUUUAUAUCAUUGAUUAUUGGUUUGAGUUUGAAUUUAUAAAAAUAUAAAUAAGAUUAAAUUACCUUAGGGAUAACAGCGUAAUAUUUUUUGAUAGAUCUUAUUGAUAAAAAUGUU